rnacentral:rRNA from 5 species
AUAACGACUCUCGGCAACGGAUAUCUCGGCUCUCGCAUCGAUGAAGAACGUAGCGAAAUGCGAUACUUGGUGUGAAUUGCAGAAUCCCGUGAACCAUCGAGUCUUUGAACGCAAGUUGCGCCCGAAGCCAUCUGGUCGAGGGCACGUCUGCCUGGGCGUCACGC